rnacentral:rRNA from 1 species
GACUCUCGGCAAUGGAUAUCUCAGCUCUCACAUCGAUGAAGAACAUAGCGAAAUGCGAUACUUGGUGUGAAUUGCAAAAUCCCGAGAACCAUCGAGUCUUUGAACGAAAGUUGCGCCCGAGGCCCCUGGGCCGAGGGCACGCCUGCCUGGGCAUCA